rnacentral:rRNA from 1 species
AACGAACGCUGGCGGCAGGCCUAACACAUGCAAGUCGAGCGAAGCCUUCGGGCUUAGCGGCGGACGGGUGAGUAACGCGUGGGAACGUGCCCUUUGGUACGGAAUAGCCCCGGGAAACUGGGAGUAAUACCGUAUGUGGUCGAGAGACGAAAGAUUUAUCGCCAAAGGAUCGGCCCGCGUUGGAUUAGGUAGUUGGUGGGGUAACGGCCUACCAAGCCGACGAUCCAUAGCUGGUUUGAGAGGAUGAUCAGCCACACUGCGACUGAGACACGGCCCAGACUCCUACGGGAGGCAGCAGUGGGGAAUCUUAGACAAUGGGGGAAACCCUGAUCUAGCCAUGCCGCGUGAUCGAUGAAGGCCUUAGGGUUGUAAAGAUCUUUCAGUGGGGAAGAUAAUGACUGUACCCACAGAAGAAGCCCCGGCUAACUCCGUGCCAGCCGCCGCUGUAA